rnacentral:rRNA from 1 species
GACGAACGCUGGCGGCGUGCUUAACACAUGCAAGUCGAACGGAAAGGCCCUGCUUUUGUGGGGUGCUCGAGUGGCGAACGGGUGAGUAACACGUGAGUAACCUGCCCUUGACUUUGGGAUAACUUCAGGAAACUUGGGCUAAUACCGGAUAGGAGCUCCUGCUGCAUGGUGGGGGUUGGAAAGUUUCGGCGGUUGGGGAUGGACUCGCGGCUUAUCAGCUUGUUGGUGGGGUAGUGGCUUACCAAGGCUUUGACGGGUAGCCGGCCUGAGAGGGUGACCGGCCACAUUGGGAAUGAGAUACGGCCCAGACUCCGACGGGAGGAAGCAGUGGGGAAUAUUGCACAAUGGGCGGAAGCAUGAUGCAGCAACGCAGCGUGCGGGAUGACGGCCUUCGGGUUGUAAACCGCUUUCGCCUGUGACGAAGCGUGAGUGACGGUAAUGGGUAAAGAAGCACCGGAUAACUACGUG